rnacentral:rRNA from 1 species
AUACAGAGGGUGCAAGCGUUAAUCGGAAUUACUGGGCGUAAAGCGCGCGUAGGCGGUUUGUUAAGUUGGAUGUGAAAGCCCCGGGCUUAACCUGGGAGGGUCAUUCAAAACUGGCAGACUAGAGUGUGGUAGAGGGUAGUGGAAUUCCUAGUGUAGCGGUGAAAUGCGUAGAGAUUAGGAGGAACACCAGUGGCGAAGGCGACUGCCUGGACCAACACUGACGCUGAGGUGCGAAAGCGUGGGUAGCGAACAGGAUUAGAAACCCCAGUAGUCC